GAUGAACGCUGGCGGCGUGCCUAAUACAUGCAAGUCGAGCGAACGGACGAGAAGCUUGCUUCUCUGAUGUUAGCGGCGGACGGGUGAGUAACACGUGGAUAACCUACCUAUAAGACUGGGAUAACUUCGGGAAACCGGAUCUAAUACCGGAUGAUAUUUUGAACCGCAUGGUUCAAAAGUGAAAGACGGUCUUGCUGUCACUUAUAGAUGGAUCCGCGCUGCAUUAGCUAGUUGGUAAGGUAACGGCUUACCAAGGCAACGAUGCUUAGCCGACCUGAGAGGGUGAUCGGCCACACUGGAACUGAGACACGGUCCAGACUCCUACGGGAGGCAGCAGUAGGGAAUCUUCCGCAAUGGGCGAAAGCCUGACGGAGCAACGCCGCGUGGGUGAUGAAGGUCUUCGGAUCGUAAAACUCUGUUAUUAGGGAAGAACAUAUGUGUAAGUAACUGUGCACAUCUUGACGGUACCUAAUCAGAAAGCCACGGCUAACUACGUG
rnacentral:rRNA from 1 species